GGUAUAUAGCUUAGUGGUAGAGUGCUUACUUAGCAUGUAUGAGGCCCUGGGUACAUUUCCCAGUACCA
rnacentral:tRNA from 1 species